GCGAAAGCGAGUCUGAAUAGGGCGUUAAGUCGCUGGGAAAAGACGCGAAGCGGGAUGAUCUAUCCUUGGCCAGGAUGAAGGGUGGGUAACACCACCUGGAGGUCCGAACCAGUGUUGGUUGAAAACAGCUUGGAUGAGCUGAGGAUAGGGGUGAAAGGCUAAUCAAAUUCCGUGAUAGCUCGUUCUCUCCGAAAUAGGUUUAGGCCUAGCCUCGUGUAUGCGCCCCGGUGGUAGAGAACUGGUUGAACUAGGGGGCUUCCCAGCCUACCGAAUUCAGUCAAACUUCGAAUGCCGGGAUC
rnacentral:rRNA from 1 species